rnacentral:rRNA from 1 species
CAUUAAUCAGUUUCGUUUUUUGAUAGUCCUUACUACUUGGAUAACCGUGGUAUUCUAGAGCUAAUACAUGCUAAAAACCCCGACUUCGGAAGGGGUGUAUUUAUUAGAUAAAAAACCAAUGCCCUCCGGGGCUCACUGGUGAUUCAUGAUAACUUAACGAAUCGCAUGGCCUUGUGCCGGCGAUGGUUCAUUCAAAUUUCUGCCCUAUCAACUUUCGAUUGUAAGGUAUUGGCUUACAAUGGUUUCAACGGGUAACGGGGAAUUAGGGUUCUAUUCCGGAGAGGGAGCCUGAGAAACGGCUACCACAUCCAAGGAAGGCAGCAGGCGCGCAAAUUACCCAAUCCCGACACGGGGAGGUAGUGACAAUAAAUACUGAUACAGGGCUCUUUUGGGUCUUGUAAUUGGAAUGAGUACAAUUUAAAUCCCUUAACGAGGAACAAUUGGAGGGCAAGUCUGGUGCCAGCAGCCGCGGUAAUUCCAGCUCCAAUAGCGUAUAUUAAAGUUGUUGCAGUUAAAAAGCUCGUAGUUGAACCUUGGGCCUGGUUGGUCGGUCCGCCUCACCGCGUGCACUGAUCCGACCGGGCCUUUCCUUCUGGGGAGCCGCAUGCCCUUCACUGGGUGUGUCGGGGAACCAGGACUUUUACUUUGAAAAAAUUAGAGUGUUCAAAGCAGGCCUAUGCUCGAAUACAUUAGCAUGGAAUAAUAGAAUAGGACGUGUGGUUCUAUUUUGUUGGUUUCUAGGACCGCCGUAAUGAUUAAUAGGGAUAGUCGGGGGCAUCAGUAUUCAAUUGUCAGAGGUGAAAUUCUUGGAUUUAUUGAAGACUAACUACUGCGAAAGCAUUUGCCAAGGAUGUUUUCAUUAAUCAGUGAACGAAAGUUAGGGGAUCGAAGACGAUCAGAUACCGUCGUAGUCUUAACCAUAAACUAUGCCGACUAGGGAUCGGGCGAUGUUAUCUUUUUGACUCGCUCGGCACCUUACGAGAAAUCAAAGU